rnacentral:lncRNA from 1 species
AAGGAAGCUAAGCAGAGUGGAAACUCAGAGUUCACCCACUGGACUAUUAAUGCAGCAUGUAACAAACGCCUUUUAAGCUUUCUUGCUCUACAAGCUGGAGACAACCAGAACAGAGACAAAGGGAGCAAGCUCAGAGCACCACGUCAUCUGCAGGCAACUCGCCCUGGAGAAGACGUGAGCUUCGAUUUCUCGACCCUGACUGUCUCAUCACAGCGGAGGAAGAUGGAAGAGUUUAAACAUUCAGGGACUGAGUUUCUACAGUCAGGAACUGUAUAAAUAGUUCUGAUUUUUUUUAAUACAAAACAAGAUUUCCAGCUUUUAAAUCAUAUUCACCAGUACUCAGAAAAAAAAAAAUGGGGAAAUGCGGUCUACCUGAAUGGAGGUACAUUUUGUGAGCCGGUUUUCGCCUGCAGUUCUUAAUAUACAAAUGUGUGCAAGCUCCCCUCUUUCCACUGCCUACCCAGUGGGAGAUUGAGUGCACAGGCAAGAAGAGUACAGAAAAUUGGAGAAAAAGAAGAGAAAACCAAGGGGCAAUUGGUAGCCACAAUGUGAAUAACUGGCCCGUUUCAUUUAUAAAGAUGGAGUCUAUUCUGUGCCUUUGAAUUUGAGCAUGCUGGUGACCAUGAAUGGAAUGAUGCUAUGUAACUUCCAAGAUUUCGGUUGGUUGCUCUUGGAACCCAGCCUCCAUGCUGUGAG